rnacentral:rRNA from 1 species
GCGAACGUAUCACCCAAGACAACUUUACGGAGUUGACGAUUGACGGAGCGAAGCGACGUCAAAGCGUUCAUUAAAGUCGAGUUGGCUUAGGGAUACGUUCGUUGGGUAGGGGAGCGUUCUGUAAGCCUGUGAAGGUGUGUCGUGAGGCAUGCUGGAGGUAUCAGAAGUGCGAAUGCUGACAUAAGUAACGAUAAAGCGGGUGAAAAGCCCGCUCGCCGGAAGACCAAGGGUUCCUGUCCAACGUUAAUCGGGGCAGGGUGAGUCGACCCCUAAGGCGAGGCCGAAAGGCGUAGUCGAUGGGAAACGGGUUAAUAUUCCCGUACUUGGUGUUACUGCGAAGGGGGGACGGAGAAGGCUAUGUUGGCCGGGCGACGGUUGUCCCGGUUUAAGCGUGUAGGUGUGUGUUCCAGGUAAAUCCGGUUCACUUUAACACUGAGGCGUGACGACGAGGCACUACGGUGCUGAAGCAACAAAUGCCCUGCUUCCAGGAAAAGCCUCUAAGCAUCAGGUAACACGAAAUCGUACCCCAAACCGACACAGGUGGUCAGGUAGAGAAUACCAAGGCGCUUGAGAGAACUCGGGUGAAGGAACUAGGCAAAAUGGUGCCGUAACUUCGGGAGAAGGCACGCUGACACGUAGGUGAAGUGAUUUACUCAUGGAGCUGAAGUCAGUCGAAGAUACCAGCUGGCUGCAACUGUUUAUUAAAAACACAGCACUGUGCAAACACGAAAGUGGACGUAUACGGUGUGACGCCUGCCCGGUGCCGGAAGGUUAAUUGAUGGGGUCAGCGCAAGCGAAGCUCCUGAUCGAAGCCCCGGUAAACGGCGGCCGUAACUAUAACGGUCCUAAGGUAGCGAAAUUCCUUGUCGGGUAAGUUCCGACCUGCACGAAUGGCGUAAUGAUGGCCAGGCUGUCUCCACCCGAGACUCAGUGAAAUUGAACUCGCUGUGAAGAUGCAGUGUACCCGCGGCAAGACGGAAAGACCCCGUGAACCUUUACUAUAGCUUGACACUGAACAUUGAGCCUUGAUGUGUAGGAUAGGUGGGAGGCUUUGAAGUGUGGACGCCAGUCUGCAUGGAGCCGACCUUGAAAUACCACCCUUUAAUGUUUGAUGUUCUAACGUGGACCCGUAAUCCGGGUUGCGGACAGUGUCUGGUGGGUAGUUUGACUGGGGCGGUCUCCUCCUAAAGAGUAACGGAGGAGCACGAAGGUUGGCUAAUCCUGGUCGGACAUCAGGAGGUUAGUGCAAUGGCAUAAGCCAGCUUGACUGCGAGCGUGACGGCGCGAGCAGGUGCGAAAGCAGGUCAUAGUGAUCCGGUGGUUCUGAAUGGAAGGGCCAUCGCUCAACGGAUAAAAGGUACUCCGGGGAUAACAGGCUGAUACCGCCCAAGAGUUCAUAUCGACGGCGGUGUUUGGCACCUCGAUGUCGGCUCAUCACAUCCUGGGGCUGAAGUAGGUCCCAAGGGUAUGGCUGUUCGCCAUUUAAAGUGGUACGCGAGCUGGGUUUAGAACGUCGUGAGACAGUUCGGUCCCUAUCUGCCGUGGGCGCUGGAGAACUGAGGGGGGCUGCUCCUAGUACGAGAGGACCGGAGUGGACGCAUCACUGGUGUUCGGGUUGUCAUGCCAAUGGCACUGCCCGGUAGCUAAAUGCGGAAGAGAUAAGUGCUGAAAGCAUCUAAGCACGAAACUUGCCCCGAGAUGAGUUCUCCCUGAGACUUUAGGUCUCCUGAAGGAACGUUGAAGACGACGACGUUGAUAGGCCGGGUGUGUAAGCGCAGCGAUGCGUUGAGCUAACCGGUACUAAUGAACCGUGAGGCUUAACCUUACAACGCCGAAG